ensembl:snoRNA
AAUCCCAUUUAUUUGCUUCUAUGCUUUCUUGGUGGUAUGAGGAGUUAUACGCAUGGGAAAGACCAUACAAGUUUCCUGCAAAUUAGAGAUGAAAGUGCCAGUGUUUCAUCUCUCUUGCUGGGGCUGGACAGCU